AGCGGGCGAGAGCGGAGAGCAGAGGAAACUCGAGCCACGUCCGUGCGCACCGGGACAGCGGCCAGAACUGCUGGGCGGGGGAUCGAGGCAGCUGACACCAAUCUCAGUGAGCAGGAUCUAGGAGUCCAUUUCUCUUUCAAGAUUCCAGGGACUAACAGUAAGCCAUCGGAGAGACCAUCAAAUCCCACCCCCUCAUUUGACAGACAGGAAAAGGAAAGCCUGCAGAAGACAGGUGGCUUGCCAGAGAUCACUCGCAGAACUGGUGUUCAAAGAGACUGUUUCUGUUAAACCCAUUUUGUUGCACAAGAGAAGAGCCCCUUCCUUUCAACUUUCCAGCUGGAACCAAGACCAGACCUUUCAAACAAGCCACUUUCAGUAAACGCAUCUCCCUCUCCCUCUCUUUCCACGGUCUCCCUCUGAGGCCGAGCCGAAGCUGGACUGUACUGCUGCCAUCUCGGCUCACUGCAACCUCCCUGCCUGAUUCUCCUGCCUCAGCCUGCCGAGUGCCUGGGAUUGCAGGCGCGCGCCGCCACGCCUGACAGGUUUUCGUAUUUUUUUGGUGGAGACGGGGUUUCGCUGUGUUGGCUGGGCUGGUCUCCAGCUCCUAACCGAGAGUGAUCCGCCAGCCUCGGCCUCCCGAGGAGCCGGGAUUGCAGACGGAGUCUCGUUCACUCAGUGCUCAAUGGUGCCCUGGCUGGAGUGCAGUGGCGUGAUCUCGGCUCGCUACAACCUCCACCUCCCAGCCGCCUGCCUUGGCCUCCCAAAGUGCCGAGAUUGCAGCCUCUGCCCGGCCGCCAACCCGUCUGGGAAGUGAGGAGCGUCUCUGCCUGGCUGCCCAUUGUCUGGGAUGUGAGGAGCCCCUCUGCCUGGCUGCCCAGUCUGGAAAGUGAGGAGCUUCUCUGCCCGGCCGCCAUCCCAUCUAGGAAGUGAGGAGCACCUCUUCCUGGCCGCCAUCCCAUCUAGGAAGUGAGGAGCGUCUCUGCCCGGCUGCCCAUCGUCUGAGAUGUGGGGAGCACCUCUGCCCCGCCGCCCCGUCUGGGAUGUGAGGAGCGCCUCUGCCCGGCCGUGACCCCGUCUGGGAGGUGAGGAGCGUCUCUGCCCAGCCGCCCCGUCUGAGAAGUGAGGAGCCCCUCCGCCCGGCAGCCGCCCCCUCUGAGAAGUGAGGAGCCCCCUCCACCCGGCAGCCACCCCGUCUGGGAAGUGAGGAGCGUCUCCGCCCGGCAGCCAUCCCGUCUGGGAGGGAGGUGGGGGGUCAGCCCCCGCCCGGCCAGCCACCCCGUCCGGGAGGGAGGUGGGGGGUCAGACCCCACCCGGCCAGCCGCCCCAUCCGGGAGGUGGGGGGCACCUCUGCCCAGCCGCCCCUACUGGGAAGUGAGGAGUCCCUCUGCCCGGCCACCACCCCGUCUGGGAGGUGUACCCAACAGCUCAUUGAGAACGGGCCAUGAUGACAAUGGCGGUUUUGUGGAAUAGAAAAGGGGGAAAGGUGGGGAAAAGAUUGAGAAAUCGGAUGGUUGCUGUGUCUGUGUAGAAAAAAGUAGACAUGGGAGACUUUUCAUUUUGUUCUGUACUAAGAAAAAUUCUUCUGCCUUGGGAUCCUGUUGAUCUAUGACCUUACCCCCAACCCUGUGCUCUCUGAAACAUGUGCUGUGUCCACUCAGGGUUAAAUGGAUUAAGGGCGGUGCAAGAUGUUUUUGUUAAACAGAUGCUUGAAGGCAGCAUGCUCAUUAAGAGUCAUCACCACUCCCUAAUCUCAAGUACCCAGGGACACAAACACUGCGGAAGGCCGCAGGGUCCUCUGCCUAGGAAAACCAGAGACCUUUGUUCACUUGUUUAUCUGCUGACCUUCCCUCCACUAUUGUCCUAUGACCCUGCCAAAUCCCCCUCUGCAAGAAACACCCAAGAAUGAUCAAUAAAAAAAAAACAAAACAACAACAACAAAAAAAACACUUCUCCUCUUGAGUUUUCUCAAUUAUGUUUGAUGGUUGAAGCAGACUGUGUAACAUUGUCCAAUGUGGUUUGCAAAGUAUGUUGAGGAAAUAUUUAAGACAAUUAUGUUGUAAAUGGGAAAGUAAAAAGACUAAAAUGGAGGUAAGAGUUUUAUACUUCACUCAAGCUGAUAAAAAUAUUGACAUCAGUUGGCC